rnacentral:rRNA from 1 species
GGAGGGCGCGAGCGUUGUUCGGAAUCACUGGGCGUAAAGCGCGUGUAGGCGGUCGGGACAGUCGGAUGUGAAAUCCCGAGGCUCAACCUCGGAACUGCAUUCGAAACUACCUGGCUAGAGUCCCGGAGAGGGUGGCGGAAUUCCCGGUGUAGGGGUGAAAUCCGUAGAUAUCGGGAGGAACACCAGUGGCGAAGGCGGCCACCUGGACGGUGACUGACGCUGAGACGCGAAAGCGUGGGGAGCAAACAGGAUUAGAUACCCUGGGUAGUCCACGCCGUAAACGGUGAGUGCUAGACGUCGCGGGUAUUGACCCCCCCCGCGGUGUCGCAGCUAACGCGUUAAGCACUCCGCCUGGGGAGUACGGCCGCAAGGCUA